CUGCUUCUCCGUAGGCGGCAGCGGCGGGAGAGACCUUGACGGCGACGGCGGCGGCACCGGCGAGGAGGGACAGCGCGGCGCGCCGGCUGGUGACGACAGCAGCGUCAGAUGCAGCCUCGUCAUUCUUGUGCGCCUUGCAGACGAACAGCUGGGUGCGCCCGACGGCGGGAGCAGGGCGCGCCGAGGCAGCCAGGCGCGCGGUGGACUGGUGGAGGAAGCAGGAGGUGGACGCCAUUGCUCGCUGCUGUUUAGCUUAGCUUAGCUAGGACUGUGCGUGCGUGCGCGUGGGUAUGGUGUGUGUCGCGUUAACUAAGGAGAUCGGUGGGGUCCGGAGCCGCGAGACUACUCGUGGUGUGUGUGUGGAUGGUGUUGGGAUGAGGCGCGAUACCAUCGGAUAAGGCCCCGCGCCGCGCCAUUGGGCCACGUCGGAUCGCGAUGCACCCGGUCACUCGUCCCCUCGCGGCUUCUCGCGACCGCGACCGCGACAGUAACUUCCCGAUCCGCAUCGAAUGGUCCGUGCCUGUCACACACUGGCAUCCGGCCCAGUGGUUGUACAAAGAUGUCACUGCCUUCUUGAGUUCUUGUGCCGUGUGUAGAGUAUAGCACAAAAGAUUUGGGACAUCAUCCCACCGGAUCAAAUCGAAGAUUAGCAUUUUGGAUUUAAGUAAAAUGCAUCGGUGGUUUGAACUUGCGACCAAAACUCAUUUUGAUAAAUGUACUCAAGAAUAUGAUCAAUACACGAUUACAAAAUAUAACAAGAUAUGAUUAUACAGUCGCUAAGCAGCAUAUAACAAUCGUACUGGACACUGUUUACCGGUCCAAGAGCUCCACGGUCGGUGUUAAAUGAAACGUUCACUUUGUAUUGGGAUCUUUUCUGCAAAAUAACUCACUUACUUCUCUUCUAAAAUUCCCCUCCCUCUAAUCAAAAACUUCAUGCUAGGGCCAUGGUUGGCGUUAAGUAUAUCGGGAAUAUGUAUGAUGAUCAUCACUGAGCCAUCUCCAUAUGCUAGGUGGGCUCGGACUGUUAAGUCCUACAUCCAAGUUGGAGGAUGUUUUUUCGUCGCUGCCCUAAUCCCUCAGCUACUGAUGUGGUUUUUAUCGACGAGAACGGAGCUACGUGAGAUGUGUUUUGCAUUUUAUCCAUAGCAUAUUCACGACUAUAGGUGUGUUUUAGUCUGCUCGCAAUGUGGACGCUUUAUAAUAGCCAAAACACCGGUAGUUAUGGUCUUUUCAUUCUUUCCUUUUCCGCUUUUAGAACUAUGCCGAAUAACUUUCCUGUUUUUGUCGGACUUCUAGUGCAAAUGGAGCUGGGGAGCUCCUCGCUGUUGAUCCAAAAAAAUCAAAAAAUUCUCCCUCACACCCUCAAAUACCUAACUCUUCGUCCACAAUGUGAGACAUCCCGUCUGUCGUUGGCCUACUCUUCAUUGCCCACGUCGUAUUCCUGCUCGCUCGGCGGCUAUCAUGUUCGUCGCCACAGUGUUGACUAGCUUGGCUCGCUCAGUUCUUGACGGACGAGCUGUGGUGGUGUCGCUCAUCAGAUGCCGUGAUCGCUAGACUUCAGUGAUGUUCUACAUCUCGAGCACCGAGAAACACGACAUAUGGGUCUUCUACAUGUGUGUGAAUCACGAUGCAAGCCCGCGAUGACGUGCAUUGUUAAUUUUGAUGGAAUUUAGCCCAUGCUCCAGGGAAAUUUGAUACUUUUUUGAUCUAUUUGGCUUAUAUUAUACAUGUAAUUUAUGGCAUCCAGAGUUGGCUUAGAGGAGUUUCUUGUUGAUCAUCGGAUCCGUGUUGGUAUGAACCACUAGAUGCAAUUGGUGCAUUAGAUAACAUGAGGGAAGAGCUUAUUUCAGCUGGGAUGAAGGGGCUACGAUUGCAGGAAAUAGUAUUGGCAUUGAAGUUGCAAGGGGUAUUUGGGGGAAAACCUACAAGUACAAUACACAAGCAGGAAAUAGAUGCAAUAUUAGGUUUUGGUAGACAAAAUGAUGGUGAUGCCGAAGGCAAUGUUGGCAAGUGCCAUUUUGCUUUGUGUGAUGUGUACUAUUUCACUUCUAAAGAAUGAUGGCAAGUGAUGGUUAGUUUGUUUAGGUGAACAAUUGGUGUUUAAUUAUCUUUUGAUUACUUGUAAGGCUUGUAUGACCUCAUGUAAGAGAUGUUGAUGCUGGUGCUUGAUGUUUAACUUGUUGUUAUGAACAAGUGAGGCUUUGCUACUAUGACUGAUGUUGUGAUUGUACAACUUGUCGAUGUGAUGACUUUGUGCAAGAUGACCAUGAUCAGGUCAUGUUGAGAGAUAUAUGCAACAAUUGGCAUGUUGGGAAUACAUGUAAGAUAUUCAUACACCGUGAUUUGCAACUGAAACUAGGUUGAUGUUUUGUGAGAAACAAGAUGAUGAUGUGGAUGUUGAUGCUGGUACUUGAUGUUUAACUUGUUGUUAUGAACAAGUGAGGCUUUGCUAUUAUGAUUGAUGUUGUUAUUGUUAGCCUUAUCGAUCUGAUAACUUGGUGCAAGAUGACUAUGGUCAUGUCAUGUUGAGUGAUAUAUGCAACAUUUUGGCAUGUUGGGAAUACAUGUAAGAUUUUCGUACAUCAUGCUUUGCAACUGAACCUAGGUUGAUGCUCUCUAAGAAACAUGAUGAUGAUGUGAUAAAACAUACUUAACCAUGCUAAAACAAAGACAUGCUCUCUCAAAGAGAAUCUAUAAUAUUCACAUACUUCGCGGAGCAUAAUUUAUUCACAUGCUUCGCAUGUCAUAAAUGAUUCACAUGAGAAUUAACAUACUCAACCAUGUUGCAUGAACAAGCAUCCAGUCAUGCUGACAUGUGCAUAGUAUACUUCGCACGUACAUGAUCAAUAAUUGAUCCAUACUCAUAUCCCAACAUCAUUAUGAAUCAAUUAGAACAAUUCCCAUCUCUAUCCGUUACUCCUCCUUAUCUCAUUCGUAUAGUUCUAAAGCAACAUGCAUCGUCCUUCUUCAUCACCAUGAAUGAUCUUCAUGGCCUACCCCCUAUGUAACAGCCCGAGACCAACGCUCCAGAAGAUUCCCCUUUUAUCUCGUUGCCGCCGUGCAAUUAGAUUAUCUAUCGCAUUCAUCAUCGCAUCAUGCUCAUCAUCUGCAUUGCAUCAGCACUCUGUUGCCGCCAGUUUUCAAAACUUGCAUCCGAUAUUAGUUGUCGGUUCUCUCCGGUUUAUCGUUGACCAUUUUGAGACCAUCCACACACGCACGCGCCCGCGACAUCGACAAAAUAUUUGUUUUAAGGUGAAAUAUUCUCGAAUUGGGUUGAAACUUGGCGUGCGGUCUUGUGUUAAUGUAGGUAGGCUGCCUGCCAAUUUUCGUCGUAAUCGGAGUCUGUUUGAUACCCGAACGGUCGACCGUAGCGCUACCGUCGUCGGUUUAUCGUCGGAUGCUUUUGGUGUUUAAAACUGUGUGUCGAGUCGCAAACUUCCCUCUCUUCUCGCAGCCCGGACACUCUACACAACCCAACACCAUCCACCUAACCCUAACCCCCUUGAUUUCGAACCGUUUGAUCGAAAUCCGACGAUCCGAAACGGGUGGGACUAGCUAACCCUAGGCCUACCUGCUAUAAAUAGCAGCCUAUUUUGGCCUCACCUCUCCUCCACCUCGAAACCAGUGCCCUAACCACCACUUGGUCGCCUCUCUCUCCCUCCCAGCACCGCAGCCCGCCAAGCCCAACCUGAGCCCACCCCGGGCCUGAUCGUGCUCGCGGCUCCCAGCACCCAGCCUCGCCUCCCGUAGCGCUUGAUCCAGAUGGGAUCGAGGCAACUACCUCCUGCGAUCGAGCAGGUCGCGC
rnacentral:lncRNA from 1 species